rnacentral:lncRNA from 1 species
AUAUAUUGGAUGCUCGAGGAUCAACAAGAAAAAUGGAAAAGGCAACUUGUUUACAGGAUAGCUGGUGGUGGCUCUCAUUGAUUACAUGUACAUACCCUUUUGGUGAUGUGAAGUCAGCAUUUUCUUUAAUCAAAAUUAGAUGACCAGAUGUGCUCUUUGGCGCAAAAAACCAGCCACGAAGGAAAGCGCCAUGAGCAAUAUGUUUUAUGAAUGAUCCAUGGAGUAUGUCUCGUUCCCUACAUGACUAGUAAGUGAAUAAAAUGGAUUUUUACAAAAAAAAACAUACACAUUUUUUACCCUGAUGGGAUUAUAAUAAGAGCAUAAGUGCUUUCCAACUUGUAGAAAAAGAGACAAAUUCUAAAGUGCAAUGGGAGGCCGGAACCCCCCCCCCCCCCNNNNN